rnacentral:rRNA from 1 species
ACCUAACACAUGCAGUCGGGCGGUAACAGGGAUAGCUUGCUAUCUGCUGACGAGCGGCGGACGGGUGAGUAAUGCAUAGGAAUCUGCCUGGUAGUGGGGGAUAGCCCAGAGAAAUUUGGAUUAAUACCGCAUACGCCCUACGGGGGAAAGCUGGGGACCUUCGGGCCUAGCGCUAUCAGAUGAGCCUAUGUCGGAUUAGCUUGUUGGUGAGGUAACGGCUCACCAAGGCGACGAUCCGUAGCUGGUCUGAGAGGAUGAUCAGCCACACUGGGACUGAGACACGGCCCAGACUCCUACGGGAGGCAGCAGUGGGGAAUAUUGGACAAUGGGCGCAAGCCUGAUCCAGCCAUGCCGCGUGUGUGAAGAAGGCCUUCGGGUUGUAAAGCACUUUCAGCGAGGAGGAAAGGGGUGUUGCUAAUAUCAACGCCCUGUGACGUUACUCGCAGAAGAAGCACCGGCUAACUCCGUGCAGAGCCCGGGGAAAAUAAUAUA